AGCACCAGCAUGGCCUUGGCAGUGCCACCUCUGGGGCUGUGGGAGCCCAGGAUGGGCUGCAGGGAUGGAGAGCAGGGGGACAGCGAGAACCUGACCUGCAGUGAGGCUGUGCAAGGACGCUGCUGUUCAGCCUUUGCUGCCAAAGCCAAAGGAGCUGAGCUGGAUUUGGAGUGCAAAUAUUGAUGCUCUGCCCUCCCUGGGGCUCUGAAAUCA